GGGUUUACCCAUUGGUCAGGCUUAAUUGUCUGUACUGGUGAGAUAAAUCUCUACCUUCUGAGGAACUUUCAUGCCAUUUAUUUGGUGUUGUGGGGAACCAGGACUUUUACCUUGAAAAAAUUAGAGUGUUCAAAGCAGGCCUUUGCUCGAAUACAUUAGCAUGGAAUAAUAGAAUAGGACAUCGGUUCUAUUUUGUUGGUUUCUAGGACCGCUGUA
rnacentral:rRNA from 1 species